rnacentral:lncRNA from 1 species
CCCGCUUCCAAGAUGGCGGCAGCGAUGCCUGCCCGGCUGUUGGGGUGGCGGUGACGACAGGCAGCAAAAGACCAGUAACCCUCCUCCCCACCCCCGCUAGAAGAGGGGAAAGGUAGAAAAGGUAGAGGACGCCACCCCCACCCUACUCUCCGCCGAGCUCCGGGGCUGUUCGCUUACAGCCCCCAGGUGGUCACGGUCCCUGCACCUGAGGAGUUGGCACCCAGGCACAUGAAGAAUAGAAGGAGCCUGUUUCCUACUUCGCCCUGGCUGGUCCCAGAUUCGCUGCUGGAGUGCUGGAUGGAGCCUUUCUCUGCCCUCUGUGACAUUUCCAAUUUUAGAUAAUGCCUCACAUCUCUGUCCCCCCGGGACCCCCUGGAGCCCCCAUGAUCCCUAAGAAGACAGCUUGAACCUAGAUCUCACCCCCAGGAUGUUGCGGAGGCUGCUGGAGCGGCCUUGCACGCUGGCCCUGCUUGUGGGCUCCCAGCUGGCUGUCAUGAUGUACCUGUCACUGGGGGGCUUCCGAAGUCUCAGUGCCCUAUUUGGCCGAGAUCAGGGACCGACAUUUGACUAUUCUCACCCUCGUGAUGUCUACAGUAACCUCAGUCACCUGCCUGGGGCCCCAGGGGGUCCUCCAGCUCCUCAAGGUCUGCCCUACUGUCCAGAACGAUCUCCUCUCUUAG